UUUCAAACAUAACGGCUCCGUCAUCGACACACGCGCCCAGACUCACCGUCACCCUGGAUAGAGGGGAGAGAGCACUUACUGGAUGAACUCGAUGAGGGUUUUGUCCAAGUUAUUAAAUCAAUCGCGUCAUUAACAUUCAUUUCAAAAACACCCUCUGCUUCUGUGAUUCAUAUUGUGGUCUACCAAGUUGUGUUCAGGUUUCUAUUGUCGUCUAUUGAGGUCAUGCUUCUAUGUGGUCUGUUAAGGUCAGGUCUCAGGGUUGUGUGUACGUAACGAAGACCGUAAGAUAAGCAGUUCUCUGUUUGUUCAGGAUGUUCUUUUACAUUCAACAGAUGAAUUGACACUUCAGGGCUGGAUGCUUCACAACAAGAGUCUCUACCGUGUUUCUACCACUAAGAAGGGCUGGAGGGCCAGUAGAGAAGACUGUCAGAAGAGAAAGGCAGACCUGGUGGACAUCAACAGCAGAGAAGAACUG
ensembl:lncRNA